rnacentral:misc_RNA from 1 species
AAGUCGUAACAAGGUUUCCGUAGGUGAACCUGCGGAAGGAUCAUUAAUGAUUUUAGCUAACCAUGGCUAUUUUAGCCAUGGUUAUGCGAAAUUUUGUAUUUAAAACCCACUCUUAUAAUAAAAAUUUUAUUAUGUUUAUGAUAAAAAUUAGAUCACUUUCAACAACGGAUCUCUUGGCUCUC